rnacentral:rRNA from 1 species
ACUCCUACGGGAGGCAGCAGUCGAGAGGCAUCCGCAAUGGGCGAAAGCCCGACGGUGCGACGCCGCGUGGACGAUGAAGGCCUUAGGGUUGUAAAGUCCUGUCACAGGGGGGAGAACAACACCCAUCUUAAUAGGCUGGGUGUCUGACGUUGCCCCUGGAGAAAGACCCGGCUAACUCCGUGCCAGCAGCCGCGGUAAUACGGGGGGGGUCGAGCGUUAUUCGGAUUCACUGGGCGUAAAGGGCGCGUAGGCGGGGUCGUGGGUCGGCCGUGAAAUCCACCGGCUCAACCGGUGAACUGCGGUCGAAACUACGACUCUUGAGCUCGGUAGAGGAAGGCGGAAUUCCUGGUGUAGCGGUGGAAUGCGUAGAUAUCAGGAGGAACACCGGUAGCGAAGGCGGCCUUCUGGGCCGUAGCUGACGCUGAGGCGCGAAAGCCGGGGGAGCGAACAGGAUUAGAUACCCUGGUAGUCCCGGCCGUAAACGAUGGGUACUAGGUGUAGGGGGUACUGACCCCCUCUGUGCCGCAGUUAACGCAUUAAGUACCCCGCCUGGGGAGUACGCACGCAAGUGUGAAACUCAAAGGAAUUGACGGGGCCCCGCACAAGCGGUGGAGCAUGUGGAUCAAUUCGACGCAACGCGAAGAACCUUACCGGGGUUUGACAUGGGCCGGACCGGCAUGGAAACAUGCCUUCCCUUCGGGGCCGGUUCACAGGUGCUGCAUGGCUGUCGUCAGCUCGUGUCGUGAGAUGUUGGGUUAAGUCCCGCAACGAGCGCAACCCUCGUCGCCNGUUGCCAUCAGGUUAAGCUGGGCACUCUGGCGAGACUGCCGGCGAUAUGCCGGANNAAGGCGGGGAUGACGUCAAGUCCUCANGGNCCUUACAUCCCGGGCUUCACACGUGCUA